rnacentral:rRNA from 1 species
AUUCGAUUAACGCGAAGAACCUUACCUGGUCUUGACAUAGUGAGAAUCCUGCAGAGAUGCGGGAGUGCCUUCGGGAAUUCACAUACAGGUGCUGCAUGGCUGCCGUCAGCUCGUGUCGUGAGAUGUUGGGUUAAGUCCCGCAACGAGCGCAACCCUUUUCCUUAUUUGCCAGCGGGUUAAGCCGGGAGCUUUAAGGAUAUUGCCAGUGACAAACUGGAGGAAGGCGGGGACGACGUCAAGUCAUCAUGGCCCUUACGACCAGGGCUACACACGUGCUACAAUGGUAGGUACAGAGGGUUGCUACACAGCGAUGUGAUGCUAAUCUCAAAAAGCCUAUGUAGUCCGGAUUGGAGUCUGCAACUCGACCCCAUGAAGUCGGAAUCGCUAGUAAUCGCAGAUCAG